AACCCUGAUCCAGCCAUGCCGCGUGAGUGAUGAAGGCCUUCGGGUUGUAAAACUCUUUCGACGGGGACGAUAAUGACGGUACCCGUAGAAGAAGCUCCGGCUAACUUCGUGCCAGCAGCCGCGGUAAUACGAAGGGGGCUAGCGUUGUUCGGAAUUACUGGGCGUAAAGCGCGCGCAGGCGGCUUAUCCAAGUCAGUGGUGAAAGCCCGGAGCUCAACUCCGGAACUGCCAUUGAAACUGUUUAGCUUGAGGACGAGAGAGGUGAGUGGAAUUCCCAGUGUAGAGGUGAAAUUCGUAGAUAUUGGGAAGAACACCGGUGGCGAAGGCGGCUCACUGGCUCGUAUCUGACGCUCAGGCGCGAUAGCGUGGGGAUCAAACAGGAUUAGAUACCCUGGUAGUCCACGCCGUAAACGAUGAAUGCUAGCCGUUGGGUAGCUUGCUAUUCAGUGCGCAGCUAACGCAUUAA
rnacentral:rRNA from 1 species